AAGGAAAGGUGGUCAUUCUGAUGAUCGAUGACUCACCUGUCCAGCUAAUGGCUAGCCUGUCAUGCCAUGACCUGACCCACACUCAGAGCAGAGGGUACCCUAAUGUGGCCACAGCAAAUUCCAGGCAGUAGGGAGCUGUUUUAAGGUGAAUAAGACACAGUCUUCUCCAUCAUUAACCCCCAAAGUCUGGUGAGAGAUACAGACUGACAUAGUAUGAGAGGUGUUGAGAUGGAGCACAGAGACCACAGAGAGAAGGCUGGCCAUGUGGAACAGACCUCAGAGAAGCUGCUUACAGGAGGCAACAUCUAAGUUAAUUUUGAAGAAUUAGAAACAGUUUUCCAGAUGGAGAGACUGGAAAACACAUGCUACAGAGAAAGAAUGUGCUCAAAGAUCCAGGAUUGCAAGAAACACUUAAAACCUCUUCAUCUUGAAGCCCCAUCUCAUUUUAAACCGAAUAUAAAUACAUACAUAG
rnacentral:lncRNA from 10 species